CAUUGCAACAAAAGGAGAGAUGCUAAGCACUCCCCUUGACAAGUACAGAAGAGAUCGAGCAAUCUUUCUAACACAUAUGGGAUUGCUCUCUACUUUAGAGCAACCUAUUUUUUU